rnacentral:rRNA from 1 species
GUCUUUUUGUUAAUUAUUUAAGGUUUGGCCUGCUCCAUGAUUAGAUUAAAUAGCCGCAGUAUUUUGACUGUGCAAAGGUAGCAUAAUCAUUAGUUUUUUAAUUGAAAGCUGGAAUGAAUGGUCGGAUGAAAAAUAAUCUGUCUCAUUUUAAUUUGAUUUGAAUUUUACUUUUAAGUUAAAAGGCUUAAAUUUUAUAUAAAGACGAGAAGACCCUAUAGAGUUUAAUAAAUUAAUAGAUUGAUUAUUUAAGGAUUUUAAUAUAAUUAGUUUAUUUUUUGUUUUGUUGGGGUGACAUAAGAAUUGAAUUAACUUCUUAUAAUUUUUACAUUAGUUAAUGAUUGGAUGAUCCUGAUUUUUGGAUUUAAAGAUAAAAUUACCUUAGGGAUAACAGCGUAAUCUUUUUGGAGAGUUCUUAUCGAUAAAAGGGAUUGCGACCUCGAUGUUGGAUUAAAGUUAAGUUUUGGUGUAGAAGCUAAAAUUUUGAGUCUGUUCGACUUUUAAAACUUU